rnacentral:rRNA from 1 species
AACUAGAUAUAGCUCACAACCAAACCCCAUAACAAUAUUACUAUAAAAAUUAAAACAAAACAUUUACAAAUAAUUAAAGUAUAGGCGAUAGAAAUUUUAUAUGACGCUAUAGAGAAAGUACCGCAAGGGAAAACUGAAAGAAAAUUCUAAGUAAAAAACAGCAAAGCUUAGCUCUUGUACCUUUUGCAUAAUGAUUCAGCUAGAGAAUACUGGCAAAAAGAAUUGAAGUUAGAAUACCCGAAACCAGACGAGCUACCUGUUAGCAGCCUAUGGGGCGAACUCAACUAUGUAGCAAAAUAGUGAGACGACUAUCAGGUAGAGGCGACAAACCUACCGAGCCUGGUGAUAGCUGGUUGUCCAGAGCAGAAUUUUAGUUCUAAUUUAAAUCUACCAAAAAAUAUAAACAAGUUAAAAUGUAGGUUUAAAUAAUAAUCUAAAAAGGUACAGCUUUUUAGACGAGGGAUACAACCCCUAUUAGAGAGUAAGUCUUAGCCACCCACAACAGUUGGCCUAAAAGCAGCCAUCAACUAAGAAAGCGUUUAAGCUCAACAGCACCGAUACUUAAUCUCAUAAUAAAGACUAAUCUCCUAACUUAAGACUGGACUAUUCUAUUUAUAUAUAGAAGCAAUACUGCUGAUAUGAGUAACAAGAAACAUUUCUCCCCGCACACGUGUAUAUCAGAGCGAAUGAAUCACUGAUUAUUACCAAAACAGAUAUCUAUUAAGUACCAAGCUAUUAGUAUUAAUUGUUGACCCAACACAGGAGUGCGAACAGGGAAAGAUUAAAAGAAGUAAAAGGAACUCGGCAAACACAAACCUCGCCUGUUUACCAAAAACAUCACCUCUAGCAUAAUAAGUAUUAGAGGCACUGCCUGCCCGGUGACUCUAGUUUAACGGCCGCGGUAUCCUGACCGUGCAAAGGUAGCAUAAUCACUUGUUCCCUAAAUAGGGACUUGUAUGAAUGGCUUCACGAGGGUUUAACUGUCUCUUACUUCCAAUCAGUGAAAUUGACAUUCCCGUGAAGAGGCGGGGAUAAAAAAAUAAGACGAGAAGACCCUAUGGAGCUUUAAUUUACUAGCCCAUAUCAACCUUGAUAUUACCCCACAGGGAGUAAAUUAAAAUUAAUUGAGCUAGAAAUUUGGGUUGGGGUGACCUCGGAAUAAAACUUAACCUCCGAGAAAGUUCUAUUUAGACCUACAAGUCAAAAUAAAUUAAUGAAAUACUGAUCCGUCAAAGACGAUCAACGAAACAAGUUACCCUAGGGAUAACAGCGCAAUCCUAUUUAAGAGUUCAUAUCGACAAUUAGGGUUUACGACCUCGAUGUUGGAUCAGGACAUCCCAAUGGUGCAGCAGCUAUUAAUGUGUUCGUUUGUUCAACGAUUAAAGUCCUACGUGAUCUGAGUUCAGACCGGAGUAAUCCAGGUCGGUUUCUAUCUAUUUAUAGUCUCCCCCAGUACGAAAGGACAAGAGAGACAGGGCCCACUUAAAAUAAGCGCCCUAAAAAAUAAAUGAACUAAUCUUAAUUUUAACAUAUUCAUAAAUUGUUUUAGAAAAAAACUAAA